GAUGAACGCUGGCGGCGUGCUUAACACAUGCAAGUCGAACGAAGCACUUACAAUUGAUUCUUCGGAAGAAAGAGUUUGUGACUGAGUGGCGGACGGGUGAGUAACGCGUGGGUAACCUGCCUCAUACAGGGGGAGUAACAGUUAGAAAUAGACUGCUAAUAACCGCCAUAAGCGCACAGUACCGCAUGGUACAGUGUGAAAACUACCGGUGGUAUGAGAUGGACCCGCCGUCUGAUUAGCUAGUUGGUAGGGUAACGGCCUACCAAGGCAACGAUCAGUAGCCGGCCUGAGAGGGUGAACGGCCACAUUAGGACUGAGACACGGCCCAA
rnacentral:rRNA from 1 species